ensembl:lincRNA
CUGUCUCAAGAUCACAAAUAAUACAUUUUGUACAUUCAUAUUAUGAAUGUACAUGCAAUGAAGGCACAAAAAUUAUGCAUUCAACAGACAUUCAGCAAACAGAGAAAUACAAAACCACAAACACACUUUUUCGAUUUGCCAGGUGAAUUCUACGACAUGUUUGUUACGUUAUGGGAUUCUACAUAUGAAUUUCGACUAAUACUUCACCAACAGUAAUUUAUAUGGAUGCACCAAUCUCUUCUCUUUAUAUCCAUGCAUUGUAUAAUAAUUGGAAUGAACCAGUUCAAAAGAUACAAUCGACUAAAGCAACCCACCAUGGAUCACAUUCUCCCAUUGAUGGAAAAAAACUUUAUUUGACCCCCACCAUACAAAUGGGCCUGUUGAAAAAAUGCUACACCACAAUUUGAAGUGACACCCACCAUAAAACUGCUCAGGAGAGGUUGCCCGAACACAAUAUGCAUUCAGACCUUGUAUGUGGUGUGGGUUGAGCAAGACCUUAUUUUAAGGCCGAUAUGGGAAAUAGCUCCUUGACUAUUUCAUCGAUUACCUGUUCCAUCCAUACAUUUCCUUCUGUGGCCUUUUCUGAACAAGUUAUCAAACUAAUGAAGAUAUCAAUGUAUUUAAUCUUUAAUAUUUCUGUUGUUUGUUUUUUAUCCAAAGACUCCUCAGAAGAGGUGCUCCUUCCUGCUCACCUGAAACCAUCCCACCGGUUGGAACGUAAGUUGCCAAGAUUCUUGUCUUUCAUUACAAAUUAUUCCAAACUUUGUCUGAACUACAUGUUCUUCACGUGCAUCAUGUCCCAUUUUGUCUGUGCCUCAGAAGUGUUGAGGACAAAUAUAUAUUUUGCUGAACUCAAAUCCAGAGAAGCAGCAAACAAAUCUUCCAGAAGUUUCAGUGACGGCGACUGGAGAAGAUGUGAUGUUUGGCAGUGGAUCCAUCAUCACUCCGUCGUACAAGCUCCAGGAAUGAAAGAUGAAACAUCAGACUCUUACAUACGGCUGAUCCAAGAUUUAAAAACAUAAACAUCAGUCUCUAGAAGUACAGCAUCCUUCAGCUGAGACCCAGUGUACGAGUUGUACCUCGAUGAACCAGUGUACGAGUUAUACCUCAAUGACCCAGUGGACGAGUUCUGCCUUGAUGACUCGGCAAAUUCUAUCUUGAUGACUUUUAUGAUUGUGAAUUUUGUUAUUUUUUUAAUUCCUGUGAAUAAAGUUGACCUAAAAUCUCUUCUCCUUUCAAAUCAUAUCAUGUACAAGUCAAAGGAAUGGUGUCUAAAAUAUUGUUAUGAAAAUGGCUCCGAGGGGAUUACAAAUCUUGUAAAAAUUUCAAAUGUUUGUACAUCUGUUUGUUGUUCUUUCAUCCACGAACCGAAGCACCCAGAGACCCCGAAUUUUGGGUGUACUCACGUGAGAAUCUGGGCAAGGUUGUAAGUGAACGCAUGUUGACCUUAAAGGUCGUUUCGGCUCCUCACCUUCAUCGGGAAUGGGGGGGCGGGGGUGUUUGUCCGUCACCGAACCCGAGGUAGUCCAGCCUGUUUGUAAUAUUUGGUGGAGAUUAUGCCAGCCAUUUUUAUGUCACCUGGAACAAAAAUUGUCCAGGUGGGGUAUAAUCAUUGUGUGGUGUCCGUUAAUCAGGAUAUAUGUAAACACUGGGAACUUCUCCAAAACUACAAAAAUAAACUUGACCACAAUCUCCAUCGCCCAGGUCAGAUGGUAUGGGAGCAUGCUCCGGAACAGCCUGUUGAUGCGUCCACUUUCCGCCGGCACUGCAGGGGCCUCCGUCAGGCCAUCCCCCAGGCAGAUGUCUGACCCAUCCCCAACGCCUUGAGAUGUUGAUCAGCCUGCUGCAACCA